GAUGAAGAACGUAGUGAAAUGCGAUACUUGGUGUGAAUUGCAGAAUCCCGUGAACCAUCGAGUCUUUGAACGCAAGUUGCGCCCGAAGCCAUCAGGUUGAGGGCACGUCUGCCUGGGCGUCACAUAUCGUUGCCCAAUGCCUAUUGCAGUGCAAUAGGAAUUUCUAGGGCGAAUGAUGGCUUCCCGUGAGCGUUGUUGCCUCGCGGUUGGUUGAAAAUCGAGUCCUUGGUAGGGUGUGCCAUGGUAGAUGGUGGUCGAGUUAGAACGAUACCGAUCAUGUGCAUGCUCCCCAAAAUAUGGCCUCUAUGACCCACACGCGUCUUUUGACGCUCAUGACGAGACCUCAGGUCAGGCGGGGCUACCCGCUGAAUUUAAGCAUAUCGAUAAGCGGAGGA
rnacentral:misc_RNA from 1 species